UCCCCUCGCGGCGGGCAGGCGGGCGAGCUAGCGGCGCCGCAGUCGCGUCGGCCAUUUUGUGGCGCUGCUCAGUCGGCGGCGCUGGGCUGGACUCGGUGAGCGGAUCAUUGGCGGCCCCCUGCCCCCGCGGCUCGAGCCCCUUGCACGUACGAAGAGCACCCCCCUCCCCGGUGUGUUUUUCAGCGCAGCCUGGCUGUGGCCAUCCACUUGCAAGGGAUCCUAAUUGUGUCAGGCAUCAUGGACAUUCACCACUCCUACUUUGGAUUGACCAAUUCUGAUGAGGGCAUGCAAAUUGCGGGGGGUGAACUGGGUGA